GAAAAGCGAGAUUAUCUAAAAGAAAAUCCAGUCUACUCUGAGGUGAAGACAGGGAAAGCCACAGCAGCUGGUCAUUUUGAUGUGACCUAUGCUGAGGUUGAACUCCAAAAGAAGGUCAAAGCCAAGAAGAAGAGAGAAAAACCAAUCCCGCCUAAGGCAGAAUCUGUCUAUUCUCUAGUGAAGCCAUACACAGCCCCCGGUCCUUGAGGGAGUAGGAGGGAUACACCAUCAGAGGAGCAGGAGCAACCUGGGAACAUGGAUAAUAUGUACAUGCUAGACGCCCUCACGCACAUAUACACAUGCAGCCAUGCACAAACAAAUACACACACACACAAACACACACGCACUAGGGUAUAUACACUGCUCAAAAGAAUAAAGGGAACACUAAAAUAACACAUCCUAGAUCUGAAUGAAUGAAAUAAUCUUAUUAAAUA